UUGUAACUCAAUCACUGGGCACAGCAGCUAAAAUCUUGUACGCCAUAUUAAAUCUAAAUCCUCCGGUUGCGAAUCCUGACGGAUCCGCCAUUGAAACCAGGAGACACUAGUAAUUACAUCUUGUCCUCACACUAUCCCUGUCGAAAAAGACCAAACUCUCCUGCUUCCUCUCUUCCUCCGUGCAUCCUGGAAGUCGCCCCUACUUGCUCAGUGAUUGACUCCUUUAUUCAUUAGGGGAUUGAUUCACAAGAAGCCUGAGUGUAUGACUCACUCCUUGUCCGCAACCCCUCCCAGGAGAGCAGAAUUAGCAUCAAAAUACAAACAGCACCAGCGCCAUCUACAACAGGACACUGGCAGGGAAAUCUCAGCAUCCAUCCAAGUCUACAGAGAAAGGCUGCAGGAAAGGAUUUAACCAACGUUGGUGACUGGCAGAACCGUCGUUGACCUACGCGUCCCUUUCUCACAGGAAGCCCCUCUGUAUCUGAGGUGCAGAGCUGCAUGUGCUCAGGACUCAGCCAUUUCCGGUGCAAGUGGAGAGGGGCCCUGUCUAGGUCGGGCUGUCCUUCAUGACCCAGGUCCAUCUGUGGUUCAGACCUAUGCUGCUCCCACGGACUCCCCCAGGCUGUAUCUCAGAUAAAGAGUUCUUUCUGACAGCUCCAGGGCUCUGAAGGUCAAGGAUCAAGCCCCCACUGGAGGAUGCUGGGCAGGUUGUGGUUUGAGUGAGAACGCCCCCCACAGGCUCAUGUUAAAAUGCUUAGUCACCAGGGAGUAGAACUCAUUGAAAGGAUUUGAAAGACAGGAGGUAUGGCCUUGAUGGUGAAAGUAUAUCACUGGGCAUGGCUAGAGAUUUUAAGAGCACAUGUGUCUCUUUGUCUCUCCAGUAUGGAUGAGGAUUUAACUCUCCCUCCCAUGCCCGCUGCUGCCAUGCUCUUGCCAUGAUAAUGCACUAAACCCCUAAAAGUGUACGCAAGCCUCUAAUUAAAUGUUUCCUUUUAUAAGCGUUGCCUUGGUCAUGAUGUCCCUUCACAGCAACAGAAGAGUGGCCCAGAUAGCCCAUGUUCUACCACCAGGUCACUCCCACAGCCCCUCACUAGGGGAUUCUGGGCAGUGCUCUACAACUGAGCCGGUCCCCCACCCCUCAUAGGGGGUUUCUAUGCAGAAACUCUGACUCUGCUGCCUAAUUAGGCAACUGCAGCUGUGCAGUUUCCCUGUUAGCUUUUAUAAUGUAAUACAGUAUGGGAUCUCAAUUUUAAAAAAAAAUGUAUCCACAGCAAGAUCUGCUGGCCCUCUCCUUUAAUCACAGCACUUGGGAGGCAGAGGCAGACAGAUCUGUCAGUUCGAGGCCAG
rnacentral:lncRNA from 1 species